rnacentral:miRNA from 1 species
AGGAUGGAAUUUCAGUCUUAUUACAUCUGAUUGAGGGUCUAAAGAAAAGUUAGGUUCACCAGCAAUCACGUCUUUGGCAUUCUGUCCAUCUCACCCACAGCCUUCCCUCUACACUUGGCCUGAGCUGAAGAAGAGGUG